rnacentral:rRNA from 1 species
AACGCUGGCGGCAUGCCUACCACAUGUAGUCGAACGGUAUGAUGCUUCCGGGCAUCAGAGAGUGGCGCACGGGUGAGUAACGCGUGGGAACCUGCCCCUGGGUACGGGACAACGUCUGGAAACGGGCGCUAAUACCGUAUACGUCCUUCGGGAGAAAGAUCUAUCGCCCUGGGAGAGGGCCCGCGUCCGAUUAAGCUUGUUGGUGGGGUAAUGGCCUACCAAGGCGACCGAUCGGUAAGCUGGUCUGAAGAGGACUGAUCAGCCACACUGGGACUGAAGACACGGCCAGACUCCUGCGGGAGGCAGCAGUGGGGAAUAUUGGACAAUGGGGGCAACACCUGAUCCAGCAAUGCCGCGUGUGUGAUGAAGGCCUUAGGGUUGUAAAGCACAUUUCACUGGUGAAGAUGAUGACGGUAUCCAGAGAAGAAGCCCCCAGGCUAACUCCGUGCCAGCAGCCGCGGUAAAUACGGAGAGGGGCAAGCGUUGUUCGGAAUUACUGGGCGUAAAGGGCGUGACAGGCUGUGAUUUACGUCGGGCGUGAAAGCCCGCGGCUCAACCCGGAAUUGCGCUAUGAUA